ensembl:antisense_RNA anr-11 ncRNA
UUCUUUGCAUCGUUGUGUUAGCAAAUUUAACACAAGAAUCUUCACGAUAAGUAUGAACUCGUUGUAAAGCUUCUCCGAGUCUCCAAAGAGCGGAUAGUGGACGAGAGAAUGCUGAAGACGUGAGCAUCAUUGAACCAUCCUGGAAUUUGGAAAACUUUUAUUUAUUUAUUUCAGUUUUAGAAAUAAAUGUUUCAAUUGUAUAGAGAAUAUUUUUUGUAGCCAUACCUUCGAAGGUUCAAUAUUCGUCAGAGCACUUCCAUGGCAAUUGGUGUGUCCUUCAUCCAAUCCAGUAUCCACGUUUAUCCAAUGAACUUCUCCAUUGAAUAAACCAACGAUAAGAUGUUCAUCGUCGACCUAAAUUAUUUUAUUAAACAAUUUUUUUCAAUUUUGAUUUUAAAUUUUUCCUUUAUGAAAUUUUAGAAU